rnacentral:rRNA from 1 species
CCUACGGGUGGCAGCAGUGAGGAAUAUUGGUCAAUGGACGAGAGUCUGAACCAGCCAAGUAGCGUGAAGGAUGACUGCCCUAUGGGUUGUAAACUUCUUUUAUAAAGGAAUAAAACGAGGCACGUGUGCCUUUUUGCAUGUCCUUUAUGAAUAAGGAUCGGCUAACUCCGUGCCAGGAGCCCUGGUACUAUGGAGGUUCCGAGCUUAAUCCGGAUUUAUUGGGUUUAAAGGGAGCGUAGAUGGGUUGUUAAGUCAGUGGUGAAAGUUAGUGGCUCAGCCGGUGAAUUGCAAUUGAUACUGGCAGUCUUGAGUACAGUUGAGGUAGGCGGAAUUCGUGGUGUAGCGGUGAAAUGCUUAGAGAUCACGAAGAACCCCGAUUGCGAAGGCAGCUUACUAAACUGUGACUGACACUGAUGCUCGAAAGUGUGGGUAUCAAACAGGAUUAGAUAUCCCUGUAGUC